GACGAACGCUGGCGGCGUGCCUAAUACAUGCAAGUUGAGCGCUGAAGGUUGGUACUUGUACCAACUGGAUGAGCAGCGAACGGGUGAGUAACGCGUGGGGAAUCUGCCUUUGAGCGGGGGACAACAUUUGGAAACGAAUGCUAAUACCGCAUAAAAACUUUAAACACAAGUUUUAAGUUUGAAAGAUGCAAUUGCAUCACUCAAAGAUGAUCCCGCGUUGUAUUAGCUAGUUGGUGAGGUAAAGGCUCACCAAGGCGAUGAUACAUAGCCGACCUGAGAGGGUGAUCGGCCACAUUGGGACUGAGACACGGCCCAAACUCCUACGGGAGGCAGCAGGAGGGAAUCUUCGGCAAUGGACGAAAGUCUGACCGAGCAACGCCGCGGGAGUGAAGAAGGGUUUCGGAUCGUAAAACUCUGUUGGUAGAGAAGAACGUUGGUGAGAGUGGAAAGCUCAUCAAGUGACGGUAACUACCCAGAAAGGGACGGCUAACUACGUG
rnacentral:rRNA from 1 species